GAAAUGUAUUCAUUCCACGUAACCCGUUCUACAGGUGCUGAUGACACUCAACCCAGGAAGGCCAUCAGUGCACAUGAGAUGACAGCAGAUGAGAAGCUGAUUAUGCAAUGGAUUACCUGCUUCUACCUGCAGAUGGCAGAGUUAUAAUGAACACUAACCAAGUCCCAAUUUCUUUAAUAUGCAUAAACAAUGAGUCUGUAAAAAGAUAAACAGCUAGUAGAACUAGAAGCGUGCCUUUCUGUGAUGCACUGUGGUACUAUGGCAUUUAUUAUGACUCAGAUUUAGAUGCUUUGAAAUCAUAGCUCUUUGGACUGUAGAUGUAAUUGUCAUGUUGAAGCUAAUAUGUAGCAUGCAGUAUCGUAGAUGCAAUGUUGUGAGGAGCCAUUUUGCAUAUCCAUAUCUACAAAUAUCUUGCAAUUAUAUACUUCAUGACUAUAUGUAUGCUGUCAGUAACUGUAAGUCCCUGAGGCAUGACUGAUUGACCAAGGAAGCAGAGCACUUUCUGAUGUUCGAAUUCUGUGUUUUAUCAAAACUCCAUUGAACAGGUAGCUAUGGAGAGGGGUGAAUUAAUUGUGUGUUUAAGAUACUCUCCAGGAAAUGUUUAGGUAUAUAAUGUUGAGCAAUUCCUGAUGAAAUGAUUCUUUAAAAAAAA